rnacentral:rRNA from 1 species
AUGCGUAUUUCUCGGGAUGUGACCUUCGAUGAGUCUCGUCCCUUCUACCCGCGUCCAUCCUCCUCGGCCUUUUCCAUAGAGGAUAUCUCAUUUCUUACGUUUCCAGAUACACCUCCCUUUGUGCCCAUUAUUCCUACUCCUCGUCCCGCUGCUGCAGAUUCGACGCCGUCCUCUCCUAUGAUUUCUUCUCCUCCCUCGUCAGAUGACUCUCCACCUUCGUCAUCGAUAUCUUCACCAUCUCCACCUUCAUCACCAAUACCUUCCCCUUCUCCACCUUCAUCGAUACAUUCCCCGUCUCCGUCUCCAGUGAUUCCACCUCUUCCCUCCUUUCCUUUUCAUUACACUCGCCGUCCACGUAUUGUGGAUAAGUCUACUGAUGUGCCCUCUACUUCUGGUGUGUCAUCUUCCUCCUCUCAGCCAACUUAUGGUCUUCGUUCUCGGCCUUGCCCACCUCCUGAUCGAUAUUCUCCUUCUCGCUAUGGUCUUUCGACCGUUCUUGAGCCAACUUCUUAUCGAGAUGCUAUUGUGCAUCCUGAAUGGCAGUUUGCGAUGGCAGAGGAGAUUGCUGCCCUUGAGCGCAACGGCACUUGGGAUCUGGUUUCUCUUCCUCCCGGUGUUUGUCCCAUCACUUGUAAGUGGGUCUAUAAGAUAAAGACUCGCUCUGAUGGUUCUUUUGAGCGUUAUAAAGCUCGUCUUGUGGCUCGCGGCUUUCAGCAAGAGCAUGGUCGCGAUUACGAUGAGACCUUUGCUCCCGUGGCCCAUAUGACCACUGUCCGUACACUUCUCGCCGUGGCCUCUGUUCGCCAUUGGUUCGUGUCUCAACUUGAUGUGAAGAAUGCCUUUCUAAAUGGUGAGUUGCGUGAGGAGGUUUAUAUGCAGCCACCACCUGGGUAUUCUGUUCCUGAUGGCAUGGUUUGUCGUCUUCGUCGCUCUCUUUAUGGCCUUAAGCAAGCCCCUCGUGCCUGGUUUGAGCGCUUUGCCUCUAUUGUGAUUGCCGCUGGUUUUUUGCCCAGUGCUCAUGAUCCAGCGUUGUUUUUCCAUCUUUCUGCUCGUGGUAGGACUCUUCUUCUUUUGUAUGUUGAUGACAUGAUCAUCACUGGCGACGAUUCUGAGUACAUUGUCUUUGUCAAGGCCCGUCUCAGUGAGCAGUUCCUUAUGUCUGAUCUUGGUCCUCUUCGUUACUUUCUUGGGAUUGAGGUUUCAUCCACCUCUGAUGCCUUUUUUAUUUCCCAAGAAAAGUAUAUCCAGGAUCUUCUUACUCGUGCGGCUCUUAGUGAUGAGCGCACUGUUGAGACUCCUAUGGAGCUCAAUCUCCACCUUCGUGCUUCUGAUGGUGAGACCUUGUAUGCUCCGACGCGUUAUCGUCAUCUCGUUGAGAGUCUUGUCUAUCUUGCUGUCACACGUCCAAAUAUCUCCUAUCCUGUUCAUAUUUUGAGUCAGUUUGUUUCUGCUCCCACUUCAGUUCAUUAUAGUCACCUUCUUCGUGUUCUACGAUAUCUUCGUGGCACGAUCUCUCGCCGUCUCUUUUUCCCUCGUUCCAGCUCUUUACAACUCCGGGCCUAUUCAGAUGCUACAUAG